UACGAAGGGGGCGAGCGUUGUUCGGAUUUACUGGGCGUAAAGGGCGCGUAGGCGCUGUCAGUCAGGCGUGAAAGCCCCGGGCUCAACCUGGGAACGGCGCUUGGGACGGCGAGGCUGGAGUUCGGGAGAGGAGAGUGGAAUUCCCGAGUGUAGAGGUGAAAUUCGUAGAUAGUUGGGAAGAACACCGGUGGCGAAGGCGGCUCUCUGGGCAGUAACUGACGCUGAGGAGCGAAAGCGUGGGGAGCGAACAGG
rnacentral:rRNA from 1 species